GGGGAGGAGGCGGAGCCGGCUGACCGCAGCCAGGAGUCCAGCACCCUGGAGGGCGGCCCCUCGGCCCGCAGGCAGCGGUGGCAGCGGGACCUCAACCCAGAACCUGAGCCAGAAUCGGAAGAGCCAGACGGAGGCUUUAGGACGCUGUAUGCAGAGCUGCGCAGGGAGAACGAGCGGCUUCGCGAGGCCCUGACCGAGACCACGCUGCGGCUGGCGCAGCUCAAGGUGGAGCUGGAGCGGGCCACGCAGAGGCAAGAACGCUUCGCUGAGAGGCCAGCCCUCCUGGAACUGGAGAGAUUCGUGAGUAGGGGCAGUGGGGAUGGGGGCCAGAGGCGUCCCCAGCCUCACAUCCCUAAGUUUGGACCAAGGGAGCCACAUUGCCCUUCCCAGCUGGCCCCUGGCCUUCCCCUGCCCUCCUCAGCCUCACUCAGUUUCUGCACUUUCCCUGUUCAUUCCAGGAGCGCAGGGCCCUGGAACGCAAGGCCGCAGAGCUGGAGGAGGAGCUGAAGGCCCUGUCUGACCUCCGCGCUGACAACCAGCGCCUCAAGGAUGAGAAUGCAGCGUUGAUCCGCGUCAUCAGCAAACUCUCCAAGUGACCCGGAGGGACUUUCCCGCACCCGUAUUUAUACAGCUGCUUCUGCCACACGCACCCCUUCCCCCGUGUGAACACGAGUGACAGGGCUCCGGGGGAAGUCUCAGAGAAGCCAUAGCCCCCCUGGGACCUCCGGACUGGGAGGGGAGCAGAGUCCCCAGGAGCCGAGGGGGCCACCCGAGGCCAGGAUGGAGGUGGGAGGCCGAGCCAAGCAGGGGGACGUUGCCAGAGGGGACCAGGGCCAGAGACGGGACCAGGAAGGAACUGAGGACCAAGAAGUGCAAGGAUCAGUAGCCAGGACCAGAGUGGCCGCCUGGAGGUCCCCAUCUCACGUGUGAUGCCACCCCGUCACCCCUCCCCUCCUGAGCAGGGAUCCAAGAAUGUGCCAAGAGUCCCGCCAGCCUCAGCCAGGUGGGCCUGUAUAUAGGGUCCAUGUGCAAUAGGGAGGGACGUCUUCUAUUUUUUGCUGCCCCCUCCCCGCCCACUGUCUGGGGCAGGGGGAGAAGGUAUUUUCGAGAUAAAGCACAGGCACCACAAAUAAAAGUCGUGAAGUUGCCACUCAA
rnacentral:lncRNA from 1 species